rnacentral:rRNA from 1 species
CAGCGCCACGAGUGGUAACCGCGAUUAUUGGGCCUAAAGCGUCCGUAGCAGGUUUGACAAAUCUUUUGUGAAAUUGUGCGGCUUAACCGUACAACGUGCAAGAGACACUAUCAAACUCGAGAUCGGGAGGAGUCAGAAGUAUUCCAGGGGGAGCGGUAAAAUGUUAUAAUCCCUGGAGGACUACCUAUGGCGAAGGCAUCUGACCAGAACGAAUCUGACUGUGAGGGACGAAAGCCAGGGGAGCGAACCGGAUUAGAUACCCGCGUAGUCC